rnacentral:piRNA from 1 species
UGUUUGUGCUCACGAAUACUU